rfam:Strigamia maritima strain Brora ctg7180001232889, whole genome shotgun sequence.
GCUGUGGUCGUAUAGUGGUUAGUACCUUGCGUUGUGGCCGCAAAAACCCAGGUUCGACUCCUGGUCACAGCA